rnacentral:rRNA from 1 species
AGAGUUUGAUCAUGGCUCAGGAUGAACGCUAGCUACAGGCUUAACACAUGCAAGUCGAGGGGUAACAAGAGAAAAGCUUGCUUUCUGUGACGACCGGCGCACGGGUGAGUAACGCGUAUCCAACCUGCCCAUAACUAGGGAAUAACCUUGCGAAAGUAAGACUAAUACCCUAUAAUUUCCUUUGACGGCAUCCGAUUAGGAAUAAAGAUUUAUCGGUUAUGGAUGGGGAUGCGUCUGAUUAGCUUGUUGGCGGGGUAACGGCCCACCAAGGCAACGAUCAGUAGGGGUUCUGAGAGGAAGGUCCCCCACAUUGGAACUGAGACACGGUCCAAACUCCUACGGGAGGCAGCAGUGAGGAAUAUUGGUCAAUGGGCGGAAGCCUGAACCAGCCAAGUAGCGUGCAGGAUGACGGCCCUAUGGGUUGUAAACUGCUUUUAUACAGGAAUAAAGUUAGCCACGUGUGGUUAUUUGUAGGUACUGUAUGAAUAAGGACCGGCUAAUUCCGUGCCAGCAGCCGC